UAGGGAAUCUUCCACAAUGGACGAAAGUCUGAUGGGAGCAACGCCGCGUGAGUGAAGAAGGGUUUCGGCUCGUAAAGCUCUGUUGGUAGUGAAGAAAGAUAGAGGUAGUAACUGGCCUUUAUUUGACGGUAUUACUUAGAAAGUAACGGCUAACUACGUGCC
rnacentral:rRNA from 1 species